AGCUAGAUGAAAAAAUGCGUUUUACCGGGCUCAUAACCCGAAGGUCAUAGGUUCAAAUCCUAUUCCCGCAACCA
rnacentral:tRNA from 1 species